GAAUUUUCACAUAUUAGUUGGGUU
rnacentral:piRNA from 1 species